CCGCAGAUGUUGUAAUCCUUCCAGAAUUGCAUCAGUGUCUUCUCAGUGUCUUCCUCAGUUGCAGCAUCGCUUGUGAGAAGGUCCUCCAAUGUAGUAGACCUUAAAAUCUGCUGUACCUCCUUGAUCCACUGGUUGGAUCAAAGAGGUGGUGUUUGAAGGGAGAAACACCACUUUGAUAUUGGGAUGAAGAUCACUAGUAAAAGGAGGAUGUCCAGGAACAUCAUCAACAGAUUUUUCACCAAAUAUCUACAGCAUAGACAGAAAAGCGAUGUGUUUGUUUGUUUGAGGGAAGACUUCUGCUUUCAAGAAGAUGCAGUAGACAUACUUUUCUUACUCUUCCCACUAAAAUACAACUAAAACCCCUGGACAUUAUAUGUAAAACAAACAUAAGAAGAUUCUAAAAGGUGGAAAAAUGAAAGCAGGGCCAGCCCUGAUGGUCCAGUGUUUAAAGUUCAGCACUUACUGUUUCAGCAUCCAAGGUUCAUUUCCCCAUCAUGGAACCACACCACCCAUCUCUCAGUUGCCAUGCUGUCGUGGUGGCCCACACAGAACUAGGACUUAUAACUAGGAUAUACAACCAAGGCACUGUAGGGCACUUUGGGGAGGAAAAAAAGAGGAAGAUUGACAACAGAUGUUAUCUCAGGGUGAAUCCUUCUCUGCAAAAAAGAAAAAAAGAAAAGAAAAGAAAAGCAGGAAGUCUAAGGACCUCAGGACCCAAGAAACAACACAGUAGUGAGUUUCAUGGGUUUUCUUUUUGUCUCAUAUAUCCAAGAAUGGGUGCUAGAAAGGUCAGCAACCCAGAAACACCAACAUGCACAGACAUAAAAAACUCCAAUAAAAUCCAGCCCUCUCUAGCCAAAAGGCCAGGAAAGGGGUAGCCUACAAAGACAGAAACUUCUAGACAAUAACUACUCUGCUCCAGCCAAACAACAAAUAAAAAACUUUGGCCCCACUUGCACCCACACUAGCAAAGGCCAAGAGGGGAUCCUAGACUUCCACCCUCGUGAGGCCCCCCAAUAAUGAGACACCCCCAUACCUACCUUGGGGUGGUGUCAGAGAAGGCCAGGUUGGGAGUCCAUCCCCACAGGCCAGUAAUGAGGUUCUCUUCCAUCCCCUGCAGUGUGAAUGGAGACCACGUCGGGUGCUGGAACUAACACACUUACUCAGCCCAGCAGGUGUCAUCAGAAGCCAAAUGGUGAACCUGGACUUCUUACCUCCACAUGGCAGUAGUGAGAUGGUACACCUUCUUUCCCUGCAGGAGUAGUGUCCAAAAAAAGCCAGUUAAAACAGAAGGCUCAGGCCAGCCUGGUGGCACAGUGGUUAAGUUUGCACGUUCUGCUUCAGUGGCCCAGGGUUCGCAAGUUCGGAUCCCGGGUGCAGACCUAUGCACUGCUUGUCAAACCAUGCUGUGGCAGGCAUACCACAUAUAAAGUAGAGGAAGAUGAGCGCAGAUGUUAGCUCAGGGCCAGUCUUCCUCAGCAAAAAGAGGAGGAUUGGCAGCAGAUGUUAGCUCAGGGCUAAUCUUCCUCAAAACAAAAACAAAACAGAAGGCUUAAAUAAGAUCCAGAAUCUAUAACAUAAUGCAAAAAUGUCCAGGUUUCAAUUUAAAAAUUCACACAUCAUAUCAAAACCAGAAAGACCUCAAACUGAAUGAAAAUGUCAACGAGUAGAUGCCAACAACAAGAUGACAGAAUUAUUUUCAGGCAGCCAUAAUAAAUAUCCUUCAACAAGCAAUUACAAACACACUUGAAACAAAUGAAAUGGAGAGAGCCUCAGCAAAGAAAUAGAAGCUAUCAAGAAGAACCAAAUGGAAAUUUUAGAACUGAAAAAUACAAUAACCAAACAAAAAGCUCAGUGGAUGAGCUCCACAGUAGAAUGCAUAGGACAGAGGAAAAAAAUCAGUGAACUAGAAGAUAGGACACUAGAAAUUAUCCAGUCUGGACAAUUGACAAAAAUUAGAGUGAAAAAAAAUUGAACAGAGCCU
ensembl:lncRNA